rnacentral:rRNA from 1 species
GACGAACGCUGGCGGCGUGCUUAACACAUGCAAGUCGAACGAAGUGGCGAACGGGUGAGUAAGGCGUAAUCAACCUGCCCUUCAGAGGGGGACAACAGUUGGAAACGACUGCUAAUACCGCAUACUGAGGGAGGGGCUUGCGUCUGAUUGGGUAGUUGGGGGGGUAACGGCCCCCCAAGGCGAUGAUCAGUAGCCGGUUCGCGGGGAUGAACGGCCAAAUUGGGACUGGAGCACGGCCCAGACCCCUACGGGAGGCCGCAGUGGGGAAUCGUCCGGAAUGGACGAAAGUCUGGCGGAGGAACGCCGCGUGAGUGAUGACGGCCUUCGGGUUGUAAAGCUCUGUUAAUCGGGACGCGGUACCGGAAUAGAAAGCCACGGCUAACUACGUGCCAGCAGCCGCGGUAAUUC